GACUUCAGAGAACCAGACGGGUUUUGCGCCAUAACACCAACAGCAGUACGGCUAUCCAAAUAACAAAGAAGUGUACAACACUUGCAUUGUGACGUCCUCAGCUCCUCUGGCAGGCUGUUCCAGAGGGGGGGGGGCAUAGGUAACUAAGAGGCCAGUGCCAGAGGACCUGAGUGAUCUAGGUGGAGCACCAUGAAGAGAUGCUCCUGAGGAACCCAUAACCUGAAACAGCCAUUUGAGGUUGUUUCCAUGUUCCAUAACCAACAUAAAUAACUGCUCUCUCGUAGAAAUGUUGUAUCAAAAGUAAACUGUUGCGAUACAAAUGCACACC